CCUACGGGGGACAGCAGUGAGGAAUAUUGGUCAAUGGACGAGAGUCUGAACCAGCCAAGUAGCGUGAAGGAUGACUGCCCUAUGGGUUGUAAACUUCUUUUAUAUGGGAAUAAAAUGUUCCACGUGUGGGAUUUUGUAUGUACCAUAUGAAUAAGGAUCGGCUAACUCCGUGCCAGCAGCCGCGGUAAUACGGAGGAUCCGAGCGUUAUCCGGAUUUAUUGGGUUUAAAGGGAGCGUAGGUGGAUUGUUAAGUCAGUUGUGAAAGUUUGCGGCUCAACCGUAAAAUUGCAGUUAAAACUGGCAGUCUUGAGUACAGUAGAGGUGGGCGGAAUUCGUGGUGUAGCGGUGAAAUGCUUAGAUAUCACGAAGAACUCCGAUUGCGAAGGCAGUUCACUGGACUGCAACUGACACUGAGGCUCGAAAGUGUGGGUAUCAAACAGGAUUAGAUACCCUAGUAGUC
rnacentral:rRNA from 1 species